rnacentral:rRNA from 1 species
AGCGAACGCUGGCGGCAGGCCUAACACAUGCAAGUCGAACGGAUCCUUCGGGAUUAGUGGCGGACGGGUGAGUAACACGUGGGAACGUGCCCUUUGGUUCGGAACAACUCAGGGAAACUUGAGCUAAUACCGGAUGUGCCCUUCGGGGGAAAGAUUUAUCGCCAUUGGAGCGGCCCGCGUCUGAUUAGCUAGUUGGUGAGGUAAAGGCUCACCAAGGCUACGAUCAGUAGCUGGUCUGAGAGGAUGACCAGUCACAUUGGGACUGAGACACGGCCCAAACUCCUACGGGAGGCAGCAGUGGGGAAUCUUGCGCAAUGGGCGAAAGCCUGACGCAGCCAUGCCGCGUGGAUGAUGAAGGUCUUAGGAUUGUAAAAUCCUUUCACCGGUGAAGAUAAUGACUGUAGCCGGAGAAGAAGCCCCGGCUAACUACGUGCCAGCCGCCGCGGUAACAC